GAUCCCGUAGCUCAGCUGGAUAGAGCGUCAGUCUCCUAAACUGCAGGCCGGCGGUUCGAAUCCGCCCGGGAUCACCA
rnacentral:tRNA from 1 species